AGUUACACAAGCGUUACAGAAGAAAUGGGACAAGGAUAACAAGAAGGGGGUAGUUAUCCAAGAGUUCAAAGGGCGUUCCUCUGAAAAUGUCCUCCAGCUACUCAUCUGGCAAGGAUGUAAUUUACAGAACUGUCACCUCGAUAGCGCUCAUCACGUUACGGUUGCUAGAAAGAAAGCUCCCAGCUAUUUCCAGGCUGGCGCUUCGUGUGUUGUAUUAUUGAAGGAUUCUUGGAUCCUUCCACUUUCCAGGCACGAGAAAGCGAUAACAGAUUUGUUCGUCUUGCAGAAGCAUGUUAGCCAAAACUGGAGGGAUCUGCGCAACCACCAGUAGCUUUUAAGUGCAAUUGCUGUACGUUGCUACGUUACCCAAGUUCUUUGCGUGCCAAGGUUAAAGCAACUGGAAUGCCGAAGUUUUUGUUUGAUUACAACUCCUAAUUACACAGCUAGGCGAGACAGUUUUUUGAAGUUCAUUAACCUGUUACUUGACCUUGAUUUAAUCUCCAGCCUGUGUUUUUGGUCUGCAACAAUGGAUUCAAAGGCCAUUUUUGCUCUGGUGAAUGAAGCUGUACCCGUGCCGGGACCCAUGCCAGGGGCAGGAGACGCAGGUUUUAAAAAACAGACCUAAUCUUUCAGGAGUCGAUCCAAAGCCCACAGAAAGGAACUCAUUGAUUCCCAUGAGGUUUGGAUCAGCUCUGGGAUGAGCUGUGUAAAACUUGAACAUUUUUUCAAGGAAAAAACGUACACUUCUAAGGUCCUGUUUGCAUCUGGCUGUUGUCUGGUGUAUUUCCCCUGAAACCUGAACGUUAUUAA